AUUUAGUCUGGAGACUGAGAGGGGAGAUGAUAACCUUUUCCAAGUACAUAAAAGGUUGUUACAAAAGAAGGGAGAAAAAUUGUUCUCUUAACCUCCGAGGAUAAAACAAGCAGCAAUGGGCUUAAAUUGCAGCAAGGGAAGUUUAGGCUGGACAUUAGAGAAAGCUUCCUGUCAGGCUAGUUAAGCACAGGGAUUAAUUGCCUAGGGCGGC